CAAAAACAUAGCCCUAGAAAUAAUCUAAGGUGUGACCUGCCCAGUGACCUUUAAGUUUAAAGUAGAAAUACUUGAAAUCAGGUUAAAAGGACGCGGUAACCUUGACCGUGAUAAUGUAGCAUAAUCACUCGCCAUUUAAUUGGUGGAUAGUAUGAAUGGUCGAACGAAUAUUCCACUGUCUUAGGAAGAAUUAAAUUAAAUUGAAAUAAUAGUUAAGAUGCUAUUUUAAACUGUAAGACGAAAAGACCCUAUAGAGCUUAACUAUAAUCUUUAUAUCUCUCAAAGAAAAUAGUCUUAUUUUUAUAAAGAUUGGUAGUUUAGUUGGGGCGACUAUCUUCUAAAUAUAACGAAGAUAAGCAAUGUAAUAAUAAUACUUAUUGUAUAAUACAAAUAUUUAACAAUUACUAUAGUAGGCUAUAAUGACCCGUUAAAUCUUCAUAAAAAGUUUAACGAUCAAUUGAUAAAAGCUACCUUAGGGAUAACAGGAUAAUUUUAUCUUAGAGUUCCUAUCGAAGAUAAAGUUUGUCACCUCUAUGUUGAAUUAAGAUAUCCCGGUAAUGCAGCAGUACC
rnacentral:rRNA from 1 species